GGUAACCUUAGACCCUACUUACUAGGCUAGAAAGUGUUUUCCUUUCACACACCUCAACAGGGCCUCCUUGCCUUACCUUCCUCUUUUUGGUGAGGCACAUUAACCAGGGGCAAAGCUGAUUAUGAGGGAUGGAGCCAUCCUCCAGGCUAGCAAAUCUGCUAAUGCCUUGUAAGGCUACCUACCACAAGGUGUUCCUUGCUAAUACUAGGGAGCCCUUUAGCCCUUAAAGACCCUUUGCGCUGAAAACUGAAGGAAAACAAACAAACAAAAAGCAGGCACUCUGUGCUAAGGCCAAGAGGAUCACAAAUAUACCGUUGUAAACAAACGGACUAGAGGAUAUCUGUGCCAGUAACCUCAGAUCCGCCGUUGAUCCGCCGUUUCAUUCGUUUCGGGACAAGUGCAGAGUAGCUCGUGCCUUUGAAGCCUAUGGCCUUUAGAGUGGCUUUAGUGUCAAAACUUAAAACAGGCCGAGGAGGGAGCCUGCCAGAAAGGUCAUCGGCAAAGGUGACACUUAAGCUGCGUCCCAUUCCGUCUGUCCUCCAGCCCUGCUAAAUAUGUUUCUAAAGCGCCAUGUCCUAGAGGAACAGCAUCCCCUGACCUCAUUUCAAGAAGAUCAAGAAGACGACACUAGGAGGAGACAUUUGAGUGACAAGACCUUGCUUUCAGACUCCACAGUGGGGUCCUGGUGCCUGGAAUAAACAAAAGCAGAGAAAAGGAAUGGGAACCAGCGUUGAGGGCCAGAGGACUGCAUCCGAGGGUCGGGGUUGGUGGAGAACCCCAGUGCAGUGGAACUCAUCAGCCAAAACUGUAAGUAAGGGGGGAAAAAAACCCACCUCUUCUAAAGACUUUUAGCGAGCAUUCAACUUGCUGUUACUAGAUAAGGACUACGGCAUUUUCUGUGCUGGGAACCCGAAGUUGUCACAUAGGCCCAUUAUGUCUUAAAUGCUGCCUGUGGCCCUGGAACAAUGAGCUUGAGGCCCAGGAGCUAAAGCAGUAGGCAGCCCGCCAAGUUCAACACUGGCCAGUCUGAAGAGCAGGGCCUGCUGGGGGCUGCUUCCGGCUCUGCCUGAGAUGCAGAGCAAAGAUUUCCAUGCUGGCUUUCCGCAUGCACGUUCGACGAUGGAGGCCCAGACCAGCGAUGACCUGUAGUGACAUUUUCCAUGACACCCUUUGUUUUGUUUUCUGCUUGAUAGUGUAACUUCGGGGGUUUCUUUUUUUGUAACAAUCGCUUGGCAAGGAUUACCGUUAGAUGUCACGGGGGAGUCACCAUACACAGCUGGAUUCUCCCCCUGGGCGGACAUCUCUUUUUCAAAUGGAGCUUCGUGGGAAUUAACUGGAUUAUUUGUGGAGGGACCCUUGGCUGCACAGCUGCUGGUCAGGUCAGUGCCUCGCUUGUGGAAAUAAAAGAAGCUGCAGUGGAACCUUAUGAUGAGGUGCACAGGAAUUUAAAAAAUUGAAUUUAUGAAUGGGAAACGCAGCGUGCCGGUGAGAUGGCUCAGUGGUUAAGAACACUUCACUGCUCUGUCUGAGCUCUUCCCCGAUCCACUGUCAUGGUUAGUGACAGCUCCAAGAGCCCUGGCACCCUAUUCUUGACGCUGGACACCUGUACUCAUCUAAACAUACAGACAGAUACCCAUAUACAGGCAUUAAAAAAACUUUUAAAAAAAUGGACCACAUAUCACUUCAUCUCCAUCAGAACAACAUUCUUAUAAAGUGCUGUAUUUUUCACCCACAUUUGCCCUUGUAGCAAACAGGCUCCUCUUCCAAGAGAGAAGCUAACUAUCUCCUUUGGGGCACUUGGUGGCCAACGACCUGCCCUGAGCAUCCAGUUUGUCAUCUAGUACUGCACUCUCACUGCUGGGUUUGCAGGUCAGAGGAAUACAGCCGUAGGUACUCACUCUAUGGCAAUCUCCAAUACAAUGCUUUCUGGGGGAGUUUGAAGAUCAGCUUAAACGUUGACACUCGAAGUGUGGCAAUGUUCCAGGCCUGUCCAGAGUGCCACUACCAAGAAUUUAUUUCCACUGGGACACGUUUGGUAUACUUUCAAGAAGUUCUUUGCUAUGAUGGCUCGGAGUUUUGGGGAAGAGACAACUGCUGACUUUUGCCAGGAAUAAAGUCUCCUUCUGAUCUUCGAGCUUGGAAAAAGAGUGUCAUUGACCCUCCUUAAACAUGACUACUACUUGUGUUUAUAGAUAA